GGAGGUGUGGUUAUCAUGGUGGUUAUCGCUUUAGAGUGGCAGCCAUUAUUUUCCACCGCAUCACAACAGACUCGGGAAAAAGAUGACUAACACAGGAAAGCCAGACGGCUACUGGAGGGACCUCUGCAUAAAAUAUGCCCAGGGCCAAAACCGCUUCUCGACUGGCAAACGGCCAGGGGCCAAGAAAUGGAAAAAGGCCUUGGAGAGCAUCGAUGCUUGCCCCCUGCAGAGCCAUAGUGCUAGUAAGGAUCUGUUCGGGAGAAGCCUUCAGUGCUCCUGUGGGUUCCACAAGGUAUGUGAAAUUAUUUUCCCCUGUGGGUUCCACAAGGUAAGUGAGUUAUUUACUAAUUGAUUGUUUACAGGUUUGCUUGUUUUUUCCUCUGGUGGGCUUCAGUGAUUUUGCAGUAAUGCCUGAUGUAUUUUAACAACUGGAGAAAACUAGUAGUGUAGGAUUCUUAGGUGUAUGUAGCAUGGCCCCUCUUUGUGUACCCCCCCCCCCCCAGCCAGCAGAUCUGUCAUCAGGAGCUGGGUCCAGUGAGGCAGGAUGAGUUGAGACAGAGGGAGGGCGAGUCCGAGUCGGCUCAGAGGCAGGAAAAGGAGACACGGAUGCAGGGGGAGCCCGGUCCCACACAGAGGCAGAGGCAGGGAGAGGAGACAAGGAGGCAGGGGCAUCAGUGGCAGGACAGGAAGUGCAGUGCUACGGGUGCAACCAGCUUGUGGAGGCAGCACAUUUUUCAGAGCACCUGUCUGACCACCAUACUCAGGAGACGUGUGACACCUGUGGGGCCAAGGUGCAGGGUACUGUUGAUCUUUUGAACCAUAUUCAACAGGUUCACUAUGCAGGAUUCGUUAUGCCAUCAAUGCAAAAGCCAACAGUACAAACACCGAUGCCAACGUCAUCUCUGCUCCCUCCUUCAAAUAGCUGUGCCACGCCACACCACAUUGCAACUCCACCUAAACCAACUCCAGUAGUUUUUAAAGGUUUUCUUCCCGAUAAAUUUCGGAAAGUAAUCCAGGAAGCAGAUCAGGUGUGGAUUGCAAAGUGCCUAUAUGAGCCUACAGGUCAGCUGAAGCAGAAAUUUGAAGCCUGCUGGUUUCACCCCCCACUGGAGCCCAAACCCUCUCGUCCUGAGCCUGGAUGGUACCACCGGCAGAGGCUGUUCAUCUGGGCACCCAUGAGGAUGUGGGGAUUUCCUUAAAAUGCCCAAAAUUUUCGGGAAAAUGAACAGCUCCGGUAUAUAUAUUUUGUCAUUGAAGGAGGAAGCGGACAUAGUCCAGCUAUAUACAGCUCUCCAUGACAUGGACAAGAAGCAAUCAAGCUACACCCAGAAGGCUAGAAAGAAAGGACAGACAUCAGGAGGACCGUGGAGAGCACCGAGGAGGCCGAGUGACUCUGCUCCUGGACAGCAGGCGGCAGAGAGACUAUACAUGACUCACGGCAAAGCAGCCCAGGAUCCCGAACACCACAGGGUCACCACUGCCUCAGACACGCCAAGGAGUUUGAGCAGUCACGCUACAGGCCCAAGGACACGAGGGGGAAAACCCUGCCCAUCCCUCGGUCAAUUGUGAGCAUCUACAGCCAUAUUAGACAGCUGCUGGAGGACAGCAGGUCCAGACGGCGCUGGCUCUGGUGCCGGUGAACAACACCACGGUCUCUGCAUGGCUGCUUAGGAGGGACAAGAGGAAGGACAGGAACAUGCUGCUGCAAGGCAAUGUCCUCCCUCAACAGCUAUACCUGGCCAAGGAUCCUCUCCCUUCAUUAAACACUAUCCCGGCUGCCCCUGUGCAACAUGCACAUGAGCCGGGGUCUGGUCGCGGGGGGAGCAGCUCAAGCAGGGGGCCCCAGACUUCCCUUUCCCGGGCCACAUUGACCAGCUCUGACGGGGGGAUCCCGAGGCGUUCCCAGGCCAGUGUUGAGAUAUAAUCUCUCCACCUAGUCCUGGGUCUUCCCCGAGGUCUCCUCCCCACUGGACGUGCCUGAAACACCUCCCAAGGGAGGCGCCCAGUGGGCAUCAUUGCCAGAUGCCCGAACCACCUCAGCUGACUCCUUUCUAAGUAAAGGAGCAGCGGCUCUAAUCCGAGUUCCUCACGGAUGGCUGAGCUUCUCACCCUAUCCCUAAGGGAGACGCCAGCCACCCUUCUGAGAAAACUCAUCUCGGCCGCUUGUACCCGCGAUCUCGUCCUUUCGGUCAUCACCCAACCCUCAUGACCAUAGGUGAGGAUAGGAACGAAGAUCGACCGGUUGAUCGAGAGCUUUGCCUUGCAGCUCAGCUCUCUUUUCGUAACAACGGUGCGGUAAAGCGAACGCAAUACCGCCCCCGCUGCUCCGAUUCUCCGGCCAAUCUCACGCUCCAUAGUACCCUCACUCGCGAACAAGACCCCGAGGUACUUGAACUCCUUCACUUGGGCUAAGGACUCAUUUCCUACCCGGAGUAAGCAAUCCACCGGUUUCCUGCUAAGAGUCAUGGCCUCAGAUUUAGCGGUGCUGAUCCUCAUCCCAGCCGCUUCACACUCGGCCGCCAGCCGAUCCAGUGAGUGCUGAAGGUCACAGGCCGAUGAUCCAAUGAGGAUCCAAUAUUAUACUUCUAUACUUUUAUAUUGCUUGUAGGAUGGUCAUCUGAGAUGACCAAGGAGGGAAUUGUAACAUAAUUCACACACUCAUACCAAGGCAACAUAUGCCCUUGCCAAUAAAAAGAGGCUUUUUCCCAUGCUAAGGAGGGAUCCGGAGCCUAGGGAGGCGUCCAGCUCAUAAAGGAGGCCAUUCAUCAUGUGUCAAUUCUAGAGAUACGAGCAGUCAAGAUGUUCGAGAGACCCAGACGCUCAAGGCCACAAGAACAAGUAGACUGGGCAAAAACAUUACCAAAUAAUGUGAGUUAAAGCGAUCCUGAUUCGGCAGACUUUUUCCAAAAAGAACAAGGCAGCCUCGGCAUUGUGCACGUUCCAAAAGUCCGUGGGCCUCCCCCCUGCUCAUGGUGACCAAGGCUGAUGGCGGUUGGCGUCCCUGUAGUGAUUUCCGUCGCCUAAACAACGCCACCACCGCCGACCGGUACCCAGCGCCGCACAUUAAGGACGUGUCCGCCCACCUGGCCGGUGCCGCCAUCUUUGAAGGUGGACCUGGUGCGCGGUUACCAUCAGGUGCCGUCGGCCCGCAGGAUGUGCCCAAGACGGCAGUCAUCACACCCUUUGGCCUCAAGGGUGCGGCGCAGACGUUUCAGCGCCUCAUGGACCCUGUGCUGCGGGACAUGCCGUUCCUGUUUGUUUACUUGCACGUCAUUCUCAUGGCCAGUGCGUCAGCAGACGACCGCCUGACGCGUCUACAGCAGCUGUUCGGUCGGCUCAGUGAGCAUGGUCUCAUCGUCAACCUGGCCGAAUGCGAGUUGGGCCGGUCAUCCAUCACUUUCCUUGGCCACCAUGUCACCCCGCAGGGGGGCGUUCCCCUCCCUGCCAAGGUGGACGCUGUCGCCAGUUGCCCACGCCCGCCCACUGUGAAGUCUCUGCAGGAGUUCCUGGGCAUGGUGUAGUUCUACAACCGUUUCCUCCCCCAUGCGGCCCAACUCAUGAGACCCUUGUACGACGCCUUGCGGGGCAGGAGGCCGGCGGACAUGUUGGAUUGGUCCCCAGAAAUGAACCUCUGCGACGUCUCCACCGGCCAACCGUGUCCCAUGGUACCUGCUGGUAGGGCUGGGCGAUAAACCGAUUUUAUCGAUUAACUUGAGUGUGUAGCUCACGUCGACUUGUUUAAAUGAAAAUCGGUUUUCUCUUCAACAUCCGCCAACGCUUCCCUCUCAGCUCCCUUAGUUCGGAAUGGGCUCAGCCCUCCCCCCGCACAGAGCGCGCAUUUACCAAAGUGAUACACAAACAUGAGAGCGAGUGUGACAAGUUGUAUGCAACAAUUUAUUCAUAUAUGUAUAAUCUAUUUUGAGGUAAACAUAAUUCAUUUGAAAUAUAUCUGUGUGGUUUAAUAAUUCGUCGAUCUGUUGGUAAUUCGUCGAUCUGUUGGUAAUGCCUCGGGGCUCCAGUAGGGGGAUCGCGCUCCUUUUCCUCAUUCAAUACAGAAGAGUGAAGGAAAGAGCUGCGUGUGUGUCUUUCUCAUUCUUCUCCCAUUACUAUUCCCUUUUUUUUUAAGGCAAUUACUGUUUGCAAAACACUGUAUAUUUAUGAACACAUGUUGAAAGUUUGAAUGUUAUGUUGGCCAUUUAUUAGAACUACCUCUUAUCAUUAGUAAUAUUUGAUGUUUACAGAAAUAUUUUAUUUUAUAUUUUAUAUAUUUUACAUUUUAUGUAAUGUUACAGGUUACACUGUUUACAAUGGCAGGGCCUGCCAUAAUGCCUUUUUAUGUAAAUCGAUUUAAAUCGGAAAUCUGAUUUUUUGUGAAAAAAUCAGGGAUUCUUUUUAGGCCAUAUCGCCCAGCCCUACCUGCUGGCUGGAGGUGUAAGUUCUUUGACACUAUCCACGGCCUUUCCCACCCGGGGGUGAAGGCCUCUGCCAAGCUGGUGGGGGCCAAUUUCGUCUGGCCGGGCCUGCGGAGGGACGUCAGGGCCUGGGCUGCUGUCUAUGUGGCGUACCAGCGUGCAAAGGUGACUCGUCAUACUAAGGCCCCCUUGGCAACCCUUCAAAGUGUCAGAGAGACGUUUUGACCAUGUGAAUGUAGACCUGGUGGGCCCAUUUUCCCCCUCCCGUGGUUACACCUACCUCCUCACCAUGGUGGACAGGACCACCAGGUGGCCAGAAGUGGUUCCCCUGUCCUCCACUACAUCAGCGGAAGUUGUCCGGGCGAUCAUUAUGGCUUGGGUGGCCCGUUUCGGCACACCGUCCGACCUUUCCUCGGACCGGGGUCCGAAGUUCACAUCGUAGCGGUCUGCGGUCGCCGGGGUCCUGGGGGUGAAGGUCCACCGUACCACAGCCUAUAACCCACAGAGCAACGGACUUUGCGAGCGGUUUCAUCGUGACAUGAAGGCCGCGCUCAGGGCCAGCCUUACGGGCAGUGACUGGGCUGACCGCCUCCCAUGGGUUACGCUGGGCCUUCGCUCUGCCCCCAAGGAAGAUCUUCAAGCCUCAUCGGCCAAGCUGGUGUACGGCCAGCCCCUGUGCGUCCCGGGGGAGUUUCUUCCAGAUGCCACGGCCCCGUGAUCAGUUUCACCCUUUUGUGAUUGGCUGAAAACGAGGGAGGCAUCUGAUUGGCUACAGAGAGUUCCUUGUUGAAAAAAAUGCAUUUGUGAAUCUAGCGACAUCAGGAGAGUCUCAAAAAUCCACACAUAAAUACAGACCAGUUCACACAAAAAUGCAAAUAAGUUCCCAAAUUAAAAACGUCUUGUAAAUACAAGUUUAACAGUUUGUAUAUAAAUGUAACAACAUCCAAAUACAUUGUGAUGAAAAUUGCAAAUAUUUUUUUAAUUAAUAUAUUUAUGGAUUUAUAUUACAUUUAUUUAAAACAAGGUACAUUUGUGUGUGGAUCAGAAAUGUGUUUAUGAAACUUAUUUUUGUUUAUGGAUUUAUUUUACAUUUAUACAUACCGAUAUCCAUUUAUGUGUGCAUUGAAAUGUAUUUGUGAGAAGAGAGUAAUUUAUAUAUAAAUCAC
ensembl:lncRNA